rnacentral:lncRNA from 1 species
UUAAGACGAGCGGUCUGCCGUUGUAGAAGUGCGGGCGUUUUUAUGGUGUUGAUUGGCACGGCUGGUUACAGUGGUCAGUUGCAUCGGGAAUGCGCAACCACUCUAUUAGCAUAAGAUACUGCGGAGUAAAGAUGGGGUUGGACCCAAUAACUGUUAGGUGAGGGACCCAAUGACGGCUUUGCUUACGCUUUUGAAUAGUAGGUUUGACUUAACUAAGGAAUGAGACCAAUAACUGUCAGGUAAGGCCUACAGGAUUUAGAGACCGAUCACUACAAUUUGCUUGAGAAGUAUUGGACAAGAGUUGUCCACUCAUCGAUUUGUAUAUCACCAAUAACUGUCAGAUGAGGUGGUACAUUAAACUGGUGGGACCGCAGUAUCCACUUAAAACCAUAGUUAGAAAAUUGCGUACGGUAAAAACGCAGCGGAAAAAGAAAUCAAACAAAUUUGAUUUUUUACUCAAGUAACAC